rnacentral:rRNA from 1 species
GACGGAGGGUGCAAGCGUUGCUCGGCAUCACUGGGCGUAAAGGGUGCGUAGGCGGUCUCUCAAGUCGGGCGUGAAAGCCCACGGCUCAGCCGUGGAAGGGCGCUCGAAACGGAGAGGCUGGAGUGCCGGAGGGGAGAGUGGAAUUCCCGGUGUAGCGGUGAAAUGCGUAGAUAUCGGGAGGAAUACCGGUGGCGAAAGCGACUCUCUGGACGGCAACUGACGCUGAGGCACGAAAGCGUGGGGAGCAAACAGG